GACGAACGCUGGCGGCGUGCCUAAUACAUGCAAGUUGAGCGCUGAAGGUUGGUACUUGUACCGACUGGAUGAGCAGCGAACGGGUGAGUAACGCGUGGGGAAUCUGCCUUUGAGCGGGGGACAACAUUUGGAAACGAAUGCUAAUACCGCAUAAAAACUUUAAACACAAGUUUUAAGUUUGAAAGAUGCAAUUGCAUCACUCAAAGAUGAUCCCGCGUUGUAUUAGCUAGUUGGUGAGGUAAAGGCUCACCAAGGCGAUGAUACAUAGCCGACCUAAGAGGGUGAUCGGCCACAUUGGGACUGAGACACGGCCCAAACUCCUACGGGAGGCAGCAGUAGGGAAUCUUCGGCAAUGGACGAAAGUCUGACCGAGCAACGCCGCGUGAGUGAAGAAGGUUUUCGGAUCGUAAAACUCUGUUGGUAGAGAAGAACGUUGGUGAGAGUGGAAAGCUCAUCAAGUGACGGUAACUACCCAGAAAGGGACGGCUAACUACGUG
rnacentral:rRNA from 1 species